rnacentral:rRNA from 1 species
CCCGCACAAGCGGUGGAGCAUGUGGUUUAAUUCGACGCAACGCGAAGAACCUUACCAGGGCUUGACAUCCCCUGACCGCGUAUGAAAGUACGUUUUCACCCUCGGGUGACAGGGAGACAGGUGGUGCAUGGUUGUCGUCAGCUCGUGUCGUGAGAUGUUGGGUUAAGUCCCGCAACGAGCGCAACCCCUACGUUUAGUUGCUAACAGGUGAAGCUGAGCACUCUAGACGAACUGCCGUUGACAAAACGGAGGAAGGUGGGAUGACGUCAAAUCAUCAUGCCCCUUAUGUUCUGGGCUACACACGUGCUACAAUGGCCGGUACAGACGGAGGCGAAGCCGCGAGGCGGAGCAAAUCCGAAAAAGCCGGUCUCAGUUCGGAUUGCAGGCUGCAAUUCGCCUGCAUGAAGUCGGAAUCGCUAGUAAUCGCAGGUCAGCAUACUGCGGUGAAUACGUUCCCGGGCCUU